UCCCUGGUAGUAUAUCGGUUAGUACACGCGCCUGUCAUUCUAUAGAAAUAUAAUUGCUGACGCGCGAAAGCUGGGUUCGACUCCCAGCCAGGGAG